rnacentral:rRNA from 1 species
GAUCUGGAAAGGUCCGUCAUAGAAGGUAAAAACCCUGUAGUUGAAACCUCGUUCCCUCUUGAGUGGAUCCUGAGUACGGCGGAACACGUGAAAUUCCGUCGGAAUCUGGGAGGACCAUCUCCCAAGGCUAAAUACUACCUAGUGACCGAUAGUGAACCAGUACCGUGAGGGAAAGGUGAAAAGCACCCCGGAAGGGGAGUGAAAGAGAACCUGAAACCGUGUGCUUACAAAUAGUCAGAGCUCGUUAAUGAGUGAUGGCGUGCCUUUUGUAGAAUGAACCGGCGAGUUACGAUCCCGUGCAAGGUUAAGUUGAAGAGACGGAGCCGCAGCGAAAGCGAGUCUGAAUAGGGCGAUAGAGUACGUGGUCGUAGACCCGAAACCGAGUGAUCUACCCAUGUCCAGGAUGAAGUUCAGGUAACACUGAAUGGAGGUCCGAACCCACGCACGUUGAAAAGUGCGGGGAUGAGGUGUGGGUAGCGGAGAAAUUCCAAUCGAACUCGGAGAUAGCUGGUUCUCCCCGAAAUAGCUUUAGGGCUAGCCUUAUGUGUAAGAGUCUUGGAGGUAGAGCACUGAUUGGACUAGGGGCCCCCAACGGGUUACCGAAUUCAGUCAAACUCCGAAUGCCAAUGACUUAUCCAUAGGAGUCAGACUACGAGUGAUAAGAUCCGUGGUCAAGAGGGAAACAGCCCAGACCGCCAGCUAAGGUCCCAAAGUAUACGUUAAGUGGAAAAGGAUGUGGAGUUGCUUAGACAACCAGGAUGUUGGCUUAGAAGCAGCCACCAUUUAAAGAGUGCGUAAUAGCUCACUGGUCGAGUGACUCUGCGCCGAAAAUGUAACGGGGCUAAACGUAUCACCGAAGCUGCGGAUUGAUACCGUAUGGUAUCAGUGGUAGGGGAGCGUUCUAAGGGCGUUGAAGCUAGAUCGUAAGGACUGGUGGAGCGCUUAGAAGUGAGAAUGCCGGUAUGAGUAGCGAAAGACGGGUGAGAAUCCCGUCCACCGUAUGCCUAAGGUUUCCUGGGGAAGGCUCGUCCUCCCAGGGUUAGUCAGGACCUAAGCCGAGGCCGACAGGCGUAGGCGAUGGACAACAGGUUGAUAUUCCUGUACCACCUCAUUUCCGUUUGAGCGAUGGAGGGACGCAGAAAGAUAGGGUAAGCGCGCUGCUGGAUAUGCGCGUCCAAGCAAUUAGGCUGAUAAGUAGGCAAAUCCGCUUAUCGAGAAGGCUGAGUUGUGAUGGCGAGGGAAAUAUAGUACCGAAGUUCCUGAUUCUACGCUGCCAAGAAAAGCUUCUAGCGAGGAAAUAGGUGCCUGUAC